CUUUACUGUAGCUUGGGAUUGGGUUCGGGCUUUGUCUGCGCAGUAUAGGUGGGAGACGUUGAGAAUAUUCUUGCGGGAGUAUUGGAGUCAUCAGUGAGAUACCACUCUUGUAAUGUUAGAUUUCUAACUUUGGAUCAUUAUCUGGUCAAAGGACAGUUUCAGGCGGGCAGUUUGACUGGGGCGGUCGCCUCCCAAACGGUAACGGAGGCGCACAAAGGUUUCCUCUGAACGUGUAGAAAUCGUAUCUAGAGUGUAAAGGCAUAAGGAAGCUUGACUGUGAGACCUACAAGUCGAGCAGGGACGAAAGUCGGUCUUAGUGAUCUGACGGUGCUGAGUGGAAAGGCCGUCACUCAACGGAUAAAAGUUA
rnacentral:rRNA from 1 species